AUUGAACGCUGGCGGCAGGCCUAACACAUGCAAGUCGAGCGGAGCGGCGGGCGGGUGGGUGAUUCCUAUGAAGCUGCCUGCUAGUUGGGGAUGGCGACCGACAGCAAGCGCUAGUUCCUCCUGCUUUCAGUUAGGCCUAGGUCGGAGUAGCUAGCUGGUGGGGUAAAGGCCAACCAAGGCGACGAUCCGUAACUGGUCUGAGAGGAUGAUCAGUCACACUGGAACUGAGACACGGUCCAGACUCCUACGGGAGGCAGCAGUGGGGAAUAUUGGACAAUGGGCGAAAGCCUGAUCCAGCCAUGCCGCGUGUGUGAAGAAGGCCUUCGGAUUGUAAAGCACUUUAAGCGGGGAGGCGUUACCAACAGAAUAAGCACCGGCUAACUCCGUGCCAGCAGCCGCGGUAAUUC
rnacentral:rRNA from 1 species